rnacentral:lncRNA from 1 species
UGCUAAAAUAAGAGAAGGGGUAUUCAAUCCCAAUUUAGUUCUAAAAACAGAUUGAGCCUAAGCCCAAGUAGAAAAAAGGUGGUAAAAAUGAAAAAUAGGGGUGUACAAACUAAAUUAUCUCUAAAGGCAGAUUGGGCCUAAGCCCAAUUGAAAAGGGUGUGACUUAGCGAACAUGGGGUGCAGAAGGGAUUCCCUUUUUUUAAUCAACAGAUGGGCUCAAGCCCAUUGCACAUGCGGUGCCAGAUAGUAGAAACUGGGGUGGCGAGAGAAGGUUUUUUGUUUGGUUUUAUUAUUAUUAUUUUGUUGGUUGGGCUUGACACCCAGGCCCAUGCUCUCUUGACCUAGAAUCGUAAGAGGGGUCAAGCCUCACUACCUCACUCUGCACUCUCAGACUCAAACACCAGAGACUCAAGGUUUCGCGUCUCUCUCUCGAAGACAACCGAACCCUCAAGCUUUCUCUCUCUCACAAGGGCGCGCCACCACCCUCAGCCAGAACCGGCCACCAGGCCAAUACUUGCACCAGUCUCGACCUCGCUGGUGGCAAUAGGUGUCACCGGAACCAUGGUUGGCCACCGCGUCCUCUUUGCGUCUCUCUCUCAAUCGCAACCGCCCAGGAUUGGGUUCCUUCGCCACCACACGACUCGACCGGCCGCCGUUCCCAUCCGGUCAGCCAUGGCAACGCCGACAUCCUCGCCACCAUCCGGCCAGCCAACGCAGGCCGUGACGACCUCACUCUCUCUCCUUCUGCUCGCGUCGGCCUAGGGUGUGGGGUUUGUCUCCAACCGGCCACCGCCUUAUCCAGUCUCGCCGCCGCUGGCGACGGCAGAUGCCACCAGGAUCCAGGCCAGCGUCACUGCACCGCCACCUUCCUUCUCCUCUUUCUAUUCUCGUGCUCUUGGGGUCAUCUCCUUUUCAUUUCACCGGUCACCACAACUCCAAUUGGUCAGGGCUGCCUUAAAGGUCCAACUUUGAACGAAUUGGCAUGGAAUUUGUGAUUUGAUUUCUGUUUAUUGGUUUGAUGCAGGUGAAAGAUGAUGUUGGGUUUGUUCUAUGGUACUCUGUGUAAGUUUCUGUUUAACUGGGUGCAAUUCCUUCGUUGGUUAUUGGAGAUGAACAGAGGCGUGGAGGUUUAAGCUUCAUUAUCUGGUUUGGCUCCUGGGAUUUUUGGUGUUUGAUGGGUAGACAUAGGCUGUCGCGUUGACAAAGAAUGGUGGAACAAGAAAAGCUGAAGUAAACUUGGAUUUCGGUUUGUUGGGAAGAUGAUGUAUCUGCAGAUGACGGGUUACUGGAAUUUGGGUUGCGCAGGUUUGGGUUAUGCAAAGAGAGUACUGGUCUCUAAUGGUUGGAGGUGGUGAAGCAUGUUCAGUUUGUUGGGAUGAAUGGAAAACAAAAAAACAAACCAUGUACAGAAACAAAUCAUGCAUACUCAAUAUAAUAGCAAGUUCGAUAUGAGCAGUCAAAGCCAGGCAUUACCAAAUCAGAACAGAAGGAGAAACCCCAUUAGGAGUAAAUUGUAAUCGUCUAACAUUCAUAACUUUGUGAGUGAUGAAGUUAAAGAGAACUUACCUUCUACGUUUACACUCUCUUCUCUCAAGUCCUUGUGAUCCUUUUUCUUAUGAUUCAACUCCACUUCUUUUCUUCAGUAGCCUUGGUGUUAGUCUAGAGAAAAAACAUUUUUCUUUGCUUCGUAAGUGUGAGGAGUGGUCAUGAAAAAAAUGGAUACUGUUUUUUUUUAUGAUUCCCAACUGGUGAGAAUGGGUGAUCAAAGUAACUGAGAGCAGGGGCAAUGGUUAGUACCGAGUACUGGUCGUGGCUGCCCAAGUGGACGGUUUCAUCAUGGAGGUUAUUAGAGGAGCCGAAGGGUGGAGAACGUGUCCUUCCUUGCCUGCCAAGACCAAACCGCCUCUGCCAAAUGUACCUCUGCCAAUUUGCAAAACGUUCUCUGCCAAAAUCCAUCCCUACACCUGUCAUGUCCCCCUUUUGUCGUUUACAAAUGUGGCUUCACUCAUUUUUUCUUUUUUUUAAUUAAAUAUAUUUAAACAAGAUAAAAUAUAAAAAGGUAAAACUUAAAAAAUGAAAAUAAAAAAUUAAAAAUUAAAAAAUAUAAAGGGAAAAGCAAAAUGAAAUAAAAAGAGAAUAGGAUGAGAUAAAUAGAAUAAAAACUAAAUCAAAUACUAAAUAGUAAAACAAAAAUUAAACAAAAUAAAACAAAAAUAAAAUAAAAUAAAAAUAAAAUAAAAUAAGACAAAAAUAAAAACUAGUCCUAUUAUUCAGUCAUCCGGACGAAAUUGGGUGUUGACACAGUAUCUCAUGACCAAAGAAGGAAAUUACAAACCAAGUAUACCCUUUAUUCCUAGUCACUAGUACAUAUCAAAUUCGAAAAAGUUACAUCAUAAUUAAUAUAACAACUUUUCUACGGUUCAUUACAUGAUUAAUCAAUUGGAUAAAACCCCCAACCCUUUCUAGAAUCAUUAUUGUUUCAGAUUGAGACCCGAAACCAAACACAAACCAAGUUGUUUCGCUGAAUUGCCUUCGUUAACCUUACUCUCACGUUCGAUCGGGUGCAACCUGCACGUUAGCACUUCGACGCUCAAGUUAGCAAAGUCGCACUAAUCUCAAGAUAAGAGUAAUUAUGUCAAAAGUGAAAAAGUACCUGAUACACGCCUUUAUAUUUAUAGGCAUCUGA